CAAUAGCGUAUAUUAAAGCUGUUGCAGUUAAAAAGCUCGUAGUUGGACUUCUGUCGGGAGCAAUCGGUCUGCCUUCUGGUGUGUACUCGAUCUGUUGUCGACAUUCCCCAUGUGUCGUUGUGUACUUGAUUGUAUGUAACGCUGCAUGGACCUUUUACUUUGAGAAAAUUAGAGUGUUUCAAGCAGGCCUAUGCCUUGAAUACUGCAGCAUGGAAUAAUGUUUUAAGGCUUCGUUCUUAUUUCAUUGGUUUCGAGGACAAAGCAAAGAUUAAUAGGGAUAGUUGGGGGCGUUCGUAUUUAAUUGUCAGAGGUGAAAUUCUUGGAUUUAUUAAAGACGAACAACUGCGAAAGCAUUCGCCAAAGAUGUUUUCAUUAA
rnacentral:rRNA from 1 species